CCGGCCGGCUGCGCGGGAAAAGCGCUCGCUGGGACUGGGACCUGCCCGAGCCGCAAAGGGACGUGGCGGGGGAAAUGUCCGCCCCCGGGCUCAGCUUAGGGAUGGGCGCCUUAACGGCUAAGAGCGGAGGUUUGUGCUGGGGUCCUCCCGGGAGAUUCCACCGCCUUCUCCCGUCUUCCCGCGGCGUUUCACAGAAUGGCUCAGGUUGAAAGGGAUCACAGUGAGUCAUCUGGGCUAACCUUCCCGCUCAAGCGGUGUCGUCCCAGAGCACAUGGCACAGGAUUGCAUCCAGACAGUUCCUGAAUUUCUCAAGUGGAAGUUCCUGUGCAUCGGUUUCUGCCCGUUGCCUCUUGACCUGCUGCUUAGCACCACCGAUUAGAGCCUGGCUCCGUCCUCCUGACAUGCUCUGCCCCUGGGGAUGCAAUUUACCCACGCUGAAACUGCCCCAAGAGACAGCGUGAGGGGGAUGUGCCCGCGACCCUGACGAGGAGAACGCGGCAGGAAAACCGGCACCGGGAGCUCCGCAGUGCUCCCCCAGGCUGCCACUAGCGAUUGGGUUUGUAUAAGCAAGAGGAAAAAGCAUGUGCAGGUUUUUCAUCGCUCAGUGUCGGGAUACGGAAAGGAUGUAGGGGGAAAAAAGCUUCAGCACGGCUUUUACUUCCUCAAAACAUGAGGAAGAGUGAUUCCUAUUACAAAGUCAAAAUAUGUAAAAUUUUUUUUAUUCUACUGAAAGUGAAGUUGAGAAAAAUCUAUGGUUUCACAUUUUAUUUUUAGCAUCAAAUCUCCAUGGGAAGGAUAGAGGUGAGGAGUGCAGAAAAUCACAAGCACCUUCCCUGUGUACAAGUCAAUAAAAAUGUUACUCAGAGGACAGAGCCCUGAUGCACCACAGACCCCUUCUACAGGAAAAACAAAAAACAUUUAUCACAGCACACACCUGAAGAAAGCAUGUGUGGAACUGGAGGAGGCAUGAGUGGAAGCACUGGGGGCUCAAACAAGGGUGAUUCUGAAAGCGUGCAGAAAUGUAAACAGGCAGCAGCUACAGUGGAACAACUGUGAGAAGAAAUGGUACUGGGGAAUUUUGUGGUGCCUCAUCUCUUGCUUCAUACUGGCUUUUUCUGAACUUCAUCAGGGUCUUCCCAGCUCUCCUACAUGACUUAACUCCUCACUUUCUUUGUCCCAUUAUCUACAGGAGAUAACCAUUAUCCAAUACCCAGCACGGUGGAAUUAUUUUCCACAUAUUUCUUCUCAUAAACUACACUCUUACUCUUCUGCCCCACAAUUUUACAUGCAGGGGGAUGACUUGCAGUGAUAGACAAUUCCUAUCCUAGAACAUGCAUGUUAAGUCACCUUGCAAGAACUGCCUCAUUUGGUGUAAAUGACUAGUGUGCUACAGCUGCUGACUAAUUUUAGGAUGAUGGUCUGCUUCUACAAUGGGCAUGUCAAGAUCUACAUCAAUGUAAUUAUCAAAACACAAAAAAUCCUAUUUUAGCCUGCAUUUGUUACUAAUUUUGUCCAGGAGCCAAUUAUCA